rnacentral:rRNA from 1 species
CAAUAGCGUAUAUUAAAGUUGUUGCGGUUAAAAAGCUCGUAGUUGGAUUUCUGCCGAGGACGACCGGUCCGCCCUCUGGGUGAGUAUCUGGCUCGGCCUGGGCAUCUUCUUGGAGAACGUAGCUGCACUUGACUGUGUGGUGCGGUAUCCAGGACUUUUACUUUGAGGAAAUUAGAGUGUUUCAAGCAGGCUUACGCCUUGAAUACAUUAGCAUGGAAUAAUAAGAUAGGACCUCGGUUCUAUUUUGUUGGUUUCUAGAGCUGAGGUAAUGAUUAAUAGGGAUAGUUGGGGGCAUUCGUAUUUAACUGUCAGAGGUGAAAUUCUCGGAUUUGUUAAAGACUAACUUAUGCGAAAGCAUUUGCCAAGGAUGUUUUCAUUAA